CGUCAAAACAAAGAUGGCGGCGGUCGGGUCGCUUAGCGACGGCUCGGGGCCGCCCGCCCGCCCGCUGCCCGCCCCGGGCCCCGUUGCGAUAGUAACGCGGCGAGAUAAGGGGGAGAGAGAGAUAGAGAAAUGGAGGGAGGGAGGAAGGAAGGAAGGAAGUUAUCCCCGGACGCCUCGUGUGGUUUGGAUUCGUUCUUCGUCUGCUGAUUGAUUUAGUCUCACAGAGCAAUUGUUUCCUGACCAAGUCUUUCCCCCUUUUUUUUGCUAAAGCAAACCAGAUACUGGGUGGCUGGAAAAGUGCUGUACCAUUGAACCGAUUUUGCUGUAAUAACAAUGUCGAGAGUUACUUUGCAUUCAGCCAAAGUCAGACAACAUUAAUUUAAAUUCCGACCAUUUAAUAUAUACCCUUCGGAGUCACCGAUGAAGUGGACUGACUAAUAAUCUCUUCGCCUCAUGAUUCUGCAAGGGAACACUAUAGGCAACGCUGAAAAUCAAAUGGCUGUCUUAUUUAUUAGUUUGCUUCAAGAGACUAUAACAACCAUACCCUGUCACAACUGUUUGAUCUAUUAAACGUCUAUAUGCUCUUCAAAA